GCUUUGGCUACUAAAAUGUUUUCACAACAUAGAUUCUUGUGUCUUUUUAAACUUUAAUGACAAUUUAAUUGUUCACAUGUAAAAGUUGUCUUCCCUUAAUCUGUUGUUUACAUGACACACAGCAGAGAAAAAAGUUGCUGAUAUAAGGUUGCCAAAUGAGUUUCUUUGUAUGUCCCUAAAAAAUUUCCAAAUACUCCGUACUAAUUAUUUGAAUGGUGAUAAUCGGAAGGAUUGAAGGAAAGAAUUUCCAUUGAGUACUGAUCUAUCUUGAGAGGCACCCUUUGGGUGGGGGUGUGGUGUAAAUGAAGUUUGUUUUCUAAAUAAAUUUGUGUUGAAGUUCUGCUGGAACUUAAAGCAUCCAUCUAACCAUUCUGCUUUCCUGGCAGAAUGUAGUGUUUAGCCAUUCAUGGAAUUGUCUGUUGUAUUUAAUAUGAUACAUGUUUAAUAUAUGUAGGGUUAUUUAAAUGGACUGAUAAACUGAUUGAUGUUUAUGUUUUCUUACUUGGAGUUUUCAAUUCAGAAUUUGGAGUCCCACACUCCCAUGUGUUCUCUCUAGUUGUAGCUUUGCUGUGUUAGGUGGCUCUUUGAAGUUCACUCAGCUUUAGGUUGACCAGGCUCUUCUUUAGUUCUUGAUAUUAGACAGAAAUCAAUUAUCUUUCAAUUCUUCAGUCACUCUCUCAUUGAAACUUAGUAGACUCAACAUCAAAGUCUGCUAUCAUUGCUAUUUUUUUUUUUUAAAUAUAAUUUAUUAUUUAUGCCUUUUUCUUCCUAGUCAUUUUAUUUAGUCUGUAUGAUAUAGAUUUAAAGUAUCUUGUUUUAUUUAGAUCACAAUACUAUAUGGUUGAUCAUUCCUUUUGAAUUGAUCCUUUAAUGUUUGGUGUUAUUUAAUUUUGUCAAGCAAUUUCUAUCCAAAACCUUCUGAUGUAGGCCUUGUCAAAGAUAUCAUAUUUAUUUUUUGAAUGACCAAGGUUUUAGAAAAUAUCUUGUAGCAUGUUCUUUCAAUUAAUAUAUCAAUACUAGAGAAAUUUACUCUAAUUAAACUCCUAUAUAUAUUUCCAUAUUGAAUGACAUGAACCAAUUGUUGAACUUUUUCUCCCUCCAAAAAACAUCAUAUGUUGAAUAAUUAGCCUGGAAAACAAAUGAUAACUAUACUGCCUCUAUAUCAGUCCAAUACCCAACGUCCAUUUUAUUAAUCACUCUGGUGCUAAUGUAAU